GACGAACGCUGGCGGCGUGCCUAACACAUGCAAGUCGAGCGAAUGAAGUUCCUUCGGGAAUGGAUUUAGCGGCGGACGGGUGAGUAACACGUGGGCAACCUGCCUCCUAGAGGGGAAUAGCCUUCCGAAAGGGGGAUUAAUACCGCAUAAGAUUGUAGUAUCGCAUGAUACAGCAAUUAAAGGAGCAAUCCGCUAUGAGAUGGGCCCGCGGCGCAUUAGCUAGUUGGUGAGGUAACGGCUCACCAAGGCGACGAUGCGUAGCCGACCUGAGAGGGUGAUCGGCCACAUUGGGACUGAGACACGGCCCAGACUCCUACGGGAGGCAGCAGUGGGUAAUAUUGCACUAUGGGGGAAACCCUGAUGCAGCAACGCCGCGUGAGUGAUGACGGCCUUCGGGUUGUAAAGCUCUGUCUUCAGGGACGAUAAUGACGGUACCUGAGGAGGAAGCAACGGCUAACUACGUG
rnacentral:rRNA from 1 species